rnacentral:rRNA from 1 species
UACGUAGGGUGCGAGCGUUAAUCGGAAUUACUGGGCGUAAAGCGUGCGUAGGCGGUUCGCUGUGUCCGAUGUGAAAGCCCCGGGCUUAACCUGGGAAUGGCAUUGGAAACUGGCGGGCUUGAGUGCGGCAGAGGGGGGUGGAAUUCCGCGUGUAGCAGUGAAAUGCGUAGAGAUGCGGAGGAACACCGAUGGCGAAGGCGGCUCACUGGCCCGGAACUGACGCUGAGGUGCGAAAGCGUGGGGAGCAAACAGG